rnacentral:rRNA from 1 species
UACGUAGGGUGCGAGCGUUGUCCGGAAUUAUUGGGCGUAAAGAGCUCGUAGGCGGUCUGUCGCGUCUGCUGUGAAAUCCCGAGGCUCAACCUCGGGCUUGCAGUAGGUACGGGCAGACUAGAGUGCGGUAGGGGAGAAUGGAAUUCCUGGUGUAGCGGUGGAAUGCGCAGAUAUCAGGAGGAACACCGAUGGCGAAGGCAGUUCUCUGGGCCGUAACUGACGCUGAGGAGCGAAAGCGUGGGGAGCGAACAGG